rnacentral:rRNA from 1 species
UACGAAGGGGGCUAGCGUUGCUCGGAAUCACUGGGCGUAAAGGGUGCGUAGGCGGGUCUUUUAAGUCAGGGGUGAAAUCCUGGAGCUCAACUCCAGAACUGCCUUUGAUACUGAAGAUCUUGAGUUCGGGAGAGGUGAGUGGAACUGCGAGUGUAGAGGUGAAAUUCGUAGAUAUUCACAAGAACACCAGUGGCGAAGGCGGCUCACUGGCCCGAUACUGACGCUGAGGCACGAAAGCGUGGGGAGCAAACAGG